rnacentral:rRNA from 1 species
GAGUUUGAUCCUGGCUCAGAUUGAACGCUGGCGGUAUGCUUAACACAUGCAAGUCGAACGGUAACAGAGGAAAGCUUGCUUUCUUGCUGACGAGUGGCGGACGGGUGAGUAACGCGUGGGAAUCUACCUAGUAGCGGGGGAUAGCCAGAAGAAAUUCUGAUUAAUACCGCAUAUACCCUACGGGGGAAAGAGGCCCUCUUCUUGAAAGGUCUCACUACCAGAUGAGCCCGCGUUAGAUUAGCUUGUUGGUGAGGUAAGAGCUCACCAAGGCAACGAUCUAUAGCUGGUCUGAGAGGAUGAUCAGCCACAUUGGGACUGAGACACGGCCCAGACUCCUACGGGAGGCAGCAGUGGGGAAUAUUGGACAAUGGGCGCAAGCCUGAUCCAGCAAUACCGCGUGUGUGAAGAAGGCCUUAGGGUUGUAAAGCACCUUUAUGAGUGAAGAAGGGUUAGUAAUUAAUACUUACUGGCAUUGACGGUAACUCACGAAUAAGCACCGGCUAACUCCGUGCCAGCAGCCGCGGUAAUAAGGGCGA